GACGAACGCUGGCGGCGUGCCUAAUACAUGCAAGUCGAGCGGACAGAUGGGAGCUUGCUCCCUGAUGUUAGCGGCGGACGGGUGAGUAACACGUGGGUAACCUGCCUGUAAGACUGGGAUAACUCCGGGAAACCGGGGCUAAUACCGGAUGCUUGUUUGAACCGCAUGGUUCAAACAUAAAAGGUGGCUUCGGCUACCACUUACAGAUGGACCCGCGGCGCAUUAGCUAGUUGGUGAGGUAACGGCUCACCAAGGCAACGAUGCGUAGCCGACCUGAGAGGGUGAUCGGCCACACUGGGACUGAGACACGGCCCAGACUCCUACGGGAGGCAGCAGUAGGGAAUCUUCCGCAAUGGACGAAAGUCUGACGGAGCAACGCCGCGUGAGUGAUGAAGGUUU
rnacentral:rRNA from 1 species